ensembl:lncRNA
AGGUGAUCCCAGGGGUGAGAUGCCCAGGAGGGGCUCUGAAGACAGUGAGCCUGGCCCUGGCUCUGUCCACAGACAUGGCCACUUGCCUGGCACACGCUCCCUCAACUGAGCCCUCCUGGCUGGCAAGAUGGGCUUCUUAACCCCAUCUUGUGGGUGAGCGAUGCCCCGUCUCAGACCUACCCGGUCACAUUGUGACAGCCGGCCUUGAGUCAGGGGUCUCCAGAUCUGGCCUGGGUUCUCCAGGGUCUGGGGAGGAGCUUCGUCCCUGCUUAGUCCACUUAGUCUGGAGAGGCUCGGUCCACUCCCUCAGAUGGUCUGGCAGGGGCCGGGCGGCUGUGACCAGUGGUGUGUGGACUCCUGGGCCAAAGAGGACACUGUGGUCCCCGUGGCUGGGGGAGCCAGAGCUGUGGACGGCAGAGGCACCUCUUUCGUGGGCACCCUGGUCAUUGGAUGACUCGGCCCUGGCCAGCCGGAUGCAGGUUUCACCUGGAGAUGCUGAGGAUUUGAGCCAGGCAGGUGAAAGCAGCAGGUCCAGGUGGGCUCCCUGGGCCCAGGAGUCCCGGCCAGCCCUCUGCCAAGGGGCACCAUGGUGGGGGGACACCAGAGGUGGGCUGGGCCCCACAGAGCUGUUGGGACACAACGGAGGGGGGCUCCAGGAAGUGGGGGGACCCUGCAGAUGGUGAAGCGGAUGCCGGCCUGAACUCACCCUUCCUCAGCCCCCAUCCCCACCCCAGCCUGGGGUUGAGGAGAGGACACUGGGCUUGAGUGGCCUGACCUUGCUGCGUGACCUUGGGAGAGGCUCCCAGCCUUCCUGGACCAAGCAGGACUAAGGGUGGGGGUCUGGCUGCCUGCCCUGGCCGUGUUUCCUCCUGGGCCCUGAGCUCCAUGGGCCAUGUGGCUGGCAGGCAGGCUUGCUUCAGAUCCUACCUCUGACCUGCAUCCUGGGGAGUGGCUUAUGCUCUCUGGAGCCUGAGGUUUCUCAUCUGCAGAUUGGGUUAAAAAGGCCCACAACACCAGGCCUUGGUGGUGAGCUGACAUGAUCACAGCAAAGCUCUGCACACCUCGUGGGUGACACAGGGCGCUCCUCUGCCUCUGCCUCUGGGAUCCUGAGCUAUUAGCUGAAAUAACAAGGUGGCCGCCCACAAGGAUGGGCUGAGCGCCCACAAUAAUUAACCGGGCGCCCACGAGGAAGCUCCCCGGCCCACGCUUGCUCGCAGCCCUCCUGCUGAGGCUUCACCCGCCUGCUGAGCCUCCGCGUGAAUGCGUCUCUCCAGCUGCAGGGGACCCCCCGGCGCCCAGAUCCCAUCGCCCGCCAGGAGCCCGCUUUUCCAGGGAGAGGCUGCUGUGCCUUUAAGAGGAAGCCCGUUAAGUUAAAGAUACAACUUGUCCCUGGCUUCCUUGGUGGCUCAGAUGGUGAAGAAUCCACCUGCAAUGCAGGAGACCUGGGUUUAAUCCCUGGGUUGGGAAGAUCCCUUGGAGGAAGGAAAUGGCAACCCACUCCAGUCUUCUUGCCUGGAGAAGUCCAUGGACAGAGGAGCCUGGCGGACUAUAGUCCACGGAGUCACAAAGAGUCGGGCACAACAGAGCGACUAACACACAUUUGGGUCUGGACAUAUUUUUAAUAUAGUUUUUUUUAAUGGAUGAAUUGUAUUUAUUUUUAAUGUGUAUUUAUUUAUUUAUUCUUUGGCUAUGCCACAGCAUGUGGGAUCUUAGUUCCUUGGCCAGGAAUCGAACGCAUGUCCUGUGCGGUGGGAGUGUGGCA